GCGGUCACAUAAGGUUGAACCAGCGGUUCCCAUACAAUCACCGAAGUUAAGCAACUUUGAGUCUGGUCAGUACCUAGAGGAGUGAUCGCUUGCGAAUACCAA